UGUAGCCAAUAGCCAUUGUGACAAAAUUUUAUUGACAAGUUAAAUUUAACGUGGACUUAACUAACUAACUUUUGCCCUUGAUGAACAAGUGAUGAUGAUGAGGAUUUCGAUAUUGUCAUUCGCAAUUGGCUGCUCGUACAACCCAGUCAUGUGCAGAAAUCGCAUCAGCCGCUGAUUGACAUGAUCCUGGCGAUGUCUCGUGUCAGCCACGUGGUGAGUUGAAAAAACGAUGGAUCCUGUUAACUGCUGGGGCCUGCUGCUGUUUCUUCUUACCAAGGUGGUGGCGAAGCAAUCUAAAAAGCGUUGAUGGCCCGCCAGGAGAAAACUUGUUAUGGGAUGGCAGUUGCGGCACACACACAUGGGCGCUGGAGCAGCCACACACUCACACACACACGCUGUCGGACCACAAGGACCAAAAGGAGUUCAUGGUCAGUUGGAGCUGUUUACGUUGUUGCUAUUUGGUGUACAGUGGUUUUGCAGUCCC